AGGAGAAAGAGAUGGAGAUAGACACCAGCGCUAGUGAACAUCCCGUAGAUAAGAAGGAAUGAGCAGCAGGAGGAGGGACAAUCAACCAGCCAACUGUGAAGAAAGAAAGGGCCACCACAUCAGUACUUGUCCCCGCAUGCCCUCUUAAACUGGGGGACACAAGAAUGAGACAUAACUCAUCCCCCUGUUUUACAUUACUUUUUAAUUACUUUUUGAAUCUUUAUUAUAAUGAUGUAAUCUGUCAUUAGUGAAAUCCAUCAUCAAUCAAUCUUUAUUACGGAAUCGGUCAUUCAUUAAAUGAUUCAUCGAUCAAAUUCGAAUAUGUAUGUAAAAAAAAAAAGAAACGUGGUAGAGGACUGUAACAUAUCAAACUGAUGAGAUACCUGGCAGUCUGUUAGAUCUAAAUACUACCACUACUACUACUUCCAUUCCCAUAUUGGCCAUAUAGUGCCAGAGGACUAAACCUUCUGUUGGAAAAGAGACUAACCUUCCAUUCUAGAGGCUUAUAUUGAGAAUAUGAAUAAUAUCCUAAAUAUAAUAUCUCUGUUCCAUUCCAUCUAGAACAUUGUGGGAGCGUUCCAUCUAACCUAUCAUUCCAUCUAGAACAUUGUGGGAACGUUCCAUCUAACCUUACAUUCCAUCUAGAACAUUGUGGAAGCGUUCCAUCUAACCUUAAAUUCCAUCUAGAGUCUAGAACAUUGUGGGAGCAUGGGACUGUAAAAAACAUCAGAGCGCCACAUUCACCAACCCAAAAUAGCUCCACCAGCUACAUUGGGGGUUGGGGUUGGGGGGUGGUGGAGGGGGGUUAGUGUUCCGUAUACCACCACCAUCCUCUCUUUCUAACAAGCACCGUAGAACCGACACAGCACCAUGUCUGUCUGUCUGUCGGUCUGUCACUAGCUUUGACAUUCUGACAUUCAGCAGUGGAAAACAAGAGGAACAUGACAUCUUCCAGCAUUACUAUGCUUCUGUUGAAUGCUGCGUGUUUGACUGACAUGGUCUUUGAAAAGAUCUUUGACAUAGAGGAGGCAGGAGCACAUGGCAACAUCAUGGACGCGCACACACACACACACACGAGUACAUCACAGCAUUAUACCAAGUUCAGAGUGUCUGCCAUAUCUUCUUGUCACACAUUGCUUGCUUUUUCAGUUCCGAUGGCUAAUCACGAUUAGGGUUGCAAAGGUAGGGUAUAUUACUGGAAACUUUCUAUGUUUACCAGUAAACUACCAGAAUGUUGGUAUAUUUCAAGGAUUUUAUGUAAUCUAUCACAAGACAUCUAGUGCCCCUUUCUAGUGCCCCUUUGUAGUGCCCCUUUCUAGUGCCCCUUUGUAGUGCCCCUUUCUAGUGCCCCUUUGUAGUGCCCCUUUCUAGUGACCGUACUUUAGAUUUUUACAGAUGUCUAAUUAUCUCUGGCCUUAUCACAUGUAAAAUAUAUGACAUAAUUAAAUAAGGUGUAAAACAUUAUUCUAAAUAUAAACCACAAACUUAGUGAAUACCAUUGGUGUUUAAUAUGAGUUUCUUUUUGAAACACUGUUAUUUUUUAACUUUGUCAACAUGUAUAUGGUGUCAAUGUUUUGCCGUUAAUCUGGUGGCAGUUGUGAGGAAAAGUCAAUAGUUGGAAGAAUUGCAGAGUUAAUUGAAAAUAAUGCCAUUGUUGAUUAGAUGCUAUUUUCAUUAAUUAGGCUAUUUUCUCUUGAACCAUAUCAUCUAUCUACUAGAAAUUAAUGGACAAUAUGGACACAGAUAUACAAAUUAAUGGUAUAUAUGAAUAUAUAUGUAUUUUAAAGUUAUUCAAGUAUAAAGUACCAAAGUUACGAUAAAUUGCCAUACAUUUUCUGUUAAUUACCAAAAUUACUGAAGAUUCCGAUAACUUUGGUAAAUGACCGGUAGCUUUGCAACCCUAGUCACAAUGUUAGCUACUAAUACCUUGCUACACACACACACACACACACACACACACACACACACACACACACACACACACACACACAGAGACAGACACAUACACACACUUUAAAACAACUUCAUCUCCAUCACUCAGCCCUAGCAGCUUUGCUUUCAUCAGUGAGAUAAUGCUUGAUCACGUCUGAUGUUAACAUACACACACACACACUGAGAGAGAGAGACACACACACACACACACACAAGCUCUGACCAUGUCUGAUGUUCAGAGAGCAGCAUCUGUAUCUGCAGACACAGACUGUGUCCCAAAUGGCACCCUAUUCCCUAUAUAGUGCAGUACUUUUCACUAGAGCCAUAUGAGCCCUGGUCAAAAGUAGUGCACUAUAUAGGGAAUAGGGUGCCACUUCAGACGCAGACAAACUCAUUAAACAGGAAAGAGCUCCUUAUCAGCACCAACAAGCACUUUGAACUACAGGAUGUCUGGUGUAUUUUAAUCUUUCAACAGAUUGAUUAUGGUUCCUUCCUCUGUCGUUUCUUUCCGAUGCAUGCCAGAAUCGCUUAGAACUUCACAAACAUGGGUUGUGUCCUGAAUGGCACCGUAUUCCCUAAAUAGUUAAUUAUAUGGGCCCUGGUCAAAAGUGGUGCACUAUAUAGGGAAUAGGGUGCCAUUUGGGAUGCAGCCAUAAAACAGUCAUCCAUUUUAAUAGUCCUCUCUCUCUCUCUCUGUCUUUUUUCUACUUAGGUUCUUUUAACCAGUUUGUCAAUAAUUGUAUCAAAUGAGUUUGCCUUAUUUCACAUUGUCAAACGUCUUCUUCAUUAUCUGUUUCAACAGAUACUUGGUUGUGUAUCGCUUGCAGAUUAUUUGUAAUUUUGAGUAUUUACCUACUGUAACGUGAUGGCUGAUAUGUUUUGUUCUAUUGAUCACUCUCUGUUACGCUCUGGGUUUCGGAAAAUUUAGCGAAAAGCAUUUGAAUUUGUUUUCCAAUAUUGUUAUCAAUUAUGCAUUCACUAAUUAUUCCUUUCAGUGGUGCCAUGCUAUACAGUAAAUCCAAUGAAUAACAGUAAAGUACAGUACUAUGAAACUAUGAAUUACCAUAUGAAUUGGAGUACAGUACUAUUAAAUGAAAAUGAUGCCUUCAUAAUUUGGUGUUUUGCUUUGCUUAACAAUAAUGAGAUUAACUAAUAAAGUUUAAAGGGGGAUGGUCA